UUAUUCCCAUUCUGGAGGAAGUGCAUCAUUAACAGCUUGGGCAUUAACUUCUAGAAAGUGCCAAUUGGCGAUUGAUGCAGUUGCUAGUGCCUAUAAAAAUGGAACCAAAGAGCAAAAGGAUUUCCACUUCUCCUUCUAUGGCAUGGAGUCUUUUUCUUUAAUUGCUACCAUGUCAUUGCCUUCGAAUCUGUCAUCCUUGGAGCAAAUCAAGCAACGAGUGAA
rnacentral:lncRNA from 1 species